UACGUAGGGUGCAAGCGUUAAUCGGAAUUACUGGGCGUAAAGCGUGCGCAGGCGGUUAUGCAAGACAGGUGUGAAAUCCCCGAGCUCAACUUGGGAACUGCAUUUGUGACUGCAUAGCUAGAGUACGGUAGAGGGGAGUGGAAUUCCGCGUGUAGCAGUGAAAUGCGUAGAUAUGCGGAGGAACACCGAUGGCGAAGGCAGCUCCCUGGACCUGUACUGACGCUCAUGCACGAAAGCGUGGGGAGCAAACAGG
rnacentral:rRNA from 1 species